rnacentral:misc_RNA from 1 species
AAGACUAUAGACCUGCGGAGUACCUGCGGAAGGAUCAUUAUUGAAUUAUGUUUCUAAAUGGGUUGUAGCUGGCUCGUCAGAGCAUGUGCACGCCUGUUCGGACUUCAUUUUCAUCCACCUGUGCACCUAUUGUAGUCUUUGGUUGGGUAUCAAGGAAGUGGUCAGCCUAUCAGCACUUGCUGGAUGUGAGGACUUGCAGUGUGAAAGCUUUGCUGUCCUUUACUUGAUCAUGGAGUUGUU